rnacentral:rRNA from 1 species
AUUGAACGCUGGCGGCAGGCCUAACACAUGCAAGUCGAGCGAGCGGCGGACGGGUGAGUAAUGUCUGGGAAACUGCCUGAUGGAGGGGGAUAAUUACUGGAAAGGGAAGCUAAUCCCGACAACAAUCAGAUUUGCCCAGAUGGGAUUAGAUAGUAGGUGGGGUAAGGGUCCACCUAGGCGACGAUCCCUAGCUGGUAUGAGAGGAUGACCAGCCACACUGGAACUGAGACACGGUCCAGACUCCUACGGGAGGCAGCAGUGGGGAAUAUUGCACAAUGGGCGCAAGCCUGAUGCAGCCAUGCCGCGUGUGUGAAGAAGGCCUUCGGGUUGUAAAGCACUUUCAGCGGGGAGGCGUUACCCGCAGAAGAAGCACCGGCUAACUCCGUGCCAGCAGCCGCGGUAAUUC